AGGAAUAUGUGAGGAGCAGUCGGAGAGGAAGAAGGAAAUCCAGGAGAUUGCAAUGACAUCCCAGGAACAAAAGGAUGGUCGCAGAUGGCUUUGCAACUCUGUUUCUCACUGGAGGAGGAUGGCAGGAGUGAUACAGGACUCCAGAGAAUACAGGAAAAUGCUCGGGAAUUCCCAGAUCACAAUUGCCAAGUGCAUAAUAUGGAAACUGUCACCAAGCCUAGUGCUUCCACCUCUUUCUACUCUCACUGGCUACCCGGUUCCUCCAAGACGGAAAAGGGGAAGAGAGAGCUGAGGAGCCGGAAAGGUGUUGGAUGGCUCUCACUACCAUGGCUACCUCUGGCCAUGGCAGAUGUUUCCAGCUGAUGCUUUCUCUUAUGAUCCCUGUGAUGGGUUUGUUGGACAUCGCUUACCACAGCCACCCUGCUGGGGAGCUUCUCACCACCCAGUCAUCCCCUUGGCAUGAGCAGGUUCAUUUUGCCUCUGCCUCAUCGCUUUAGAGUCUUGCCCUAGACCCUGCACAUUUGGAGGCAAACCUCUGGCCUCUUUCUGCAGAGACUUCUGCCUUUGCAAGCAAUCCUCUUGGGUACAAUCAAGGUCAAUCCUGCUGUGUGUCACUCUCUUAGACUUGUCUUCCGUGAGAGUAAAUUACUUCCCCAGCCACAGUCCCUACCUGAUAUUCAGGCCACUUUUACUAACUCUGGUCCUUUAGGUUUCUCAGGCAUGAGCCAGGCACCAGUCCAUGGUAUUCCCUAAACUGCAGGGGACAUCCACGGAGCUCUCCAAGAGGUCUUCCUGAAGUCUUUCUCACUAGACUUAAGGUGAGAGAAAAGCCCCUUCCCCUCCCUGUUAAGUGCAGAGAAAGGGCCUCUUAGAAUACCUAUGACAUGACAGGGUAAAUGAGAAAUUCAGGAACACUCCUUUGCAAAUUCUGCAUAGUAGUACAGAACUUUGUUUGGCAUGUGAGUGUGGUUGACAACUAUUAUCUGAGGCCUCUCUAAAAAUGGGAAUAAAAUAAAGGCUUCCAUUUA
rnacentral:lncRNA from 1 species